UGACAAUAUAGAGGCGCAAACGAAGACCAGCCUAUCGGGAAAUCGAGCGGUUUCCCGACAGACCAAUCCGUCCUUGGACCGUAUGUUACGUAAAUCAUUUAUCCGUGACGACAAUAGGUCCGACAGCGUCAAUUUUGUCCCUUUUCAAACAAGAAUUUCUCGACGAAAUCACCGAUAACUCGCCGCGUAAAAAGGUGGUUUAUGAUAUACAUUCUAUUUGAACUUUAUAUUUGAUCAUAUAUUCGUUGGUAAUUGCAUCGUUACAAACACUGGCAAGGUUCCUUUAAUCUUUAAAUCACUGAUGACAGUUACUGACGCCUUCACAGCAAAUUUUAGAGACUUACGGAUAAAAAUGCACAAACAUAUCGUGUCAGCUCG